rnacentral:lncRNA from 1 species
AUUGACAAAGACACAUUUCAUUUAAGAAUAAAGCCUUUAUUUUGUCUUCCCACAGUUCAAGUUUGUCAGAACCACCCAAUGACGUGGUGGCAUGUAGAGUGAAUGAGAGAGGUAGACCAUCAGUUCCAUCCACCCAGUCAUCACCUUGUACAGUUCCAUCCACCCUGUACAGUUCCAUCCACCCAGUCAUCACCCUGUACAGUUCCAUCCACCCAGUCACCACCCUGUACAGUUCCAUCCACCCAGUCAUCCACCCUGUACAGUUCCAUCCACCCUGUACAGUUCCAUCCACCCAGUCAUCCACCCUGUACAGUUCCAUCCACCCAGUCAUCCACCCUGUACAGUUCCAUCCACCCAGUCAUCAGCCUGUACAGUUCCAUCCACCCUGUACAGUUCCAUCCACCCAGUACAGUUCCAUCCACCCAGUCAUCAGCCUGUACAGUUCCAUCCACCCAGUCAUCAGCCUGUACAGUUCCAUCCACCCUGUCAUCAGCCUGUACAGUUCCAUCCACCCACCCAGUCAUCCACCCUGUACAGUUCCAUCCACCCAGUCAUCAGCCUGUACAGUUCCAUCCACCCAGUCAUCACCCUGUACAGUUCCAUCCACCCAGUCAUCACCCUGUACAGUUCCAUCCACCCAGUCAUCCGCCCUGUACAGUUCCAUCCACCGUCAUCCGCCUGUACAGUUCCAUCCACCGUCAUCCGCCUGUACAGUUCCAUCCACCCAGUCAUCCACCCUGUACAGUUCCAUCCACCCUGUACAGUUCCAUCCACCCUGUACAGUUCCAUCCACCCUGUACAGUUCCAUCCACCCAGUCAUCAGCCUGUACAGUUCCAUCCACCCAGUCAUCCACCCUGUACAGUUCCAUCCACCCUGUACAGUUCCAUCCACCCUGUACAGUUCCAUCCACCCAGUCAUCAGCCUGUACAGUUCCAUCCACCCAGUCAUCAGCCUGUACAGUUCCAUCCACCCAGUCAUCAGCCUGUACAGUUCCAUCCACCCAGUCAUCAGCCUGUACAGUUCCAUCCACCCAGUCAUCAGCCUGUACAGUUCCAUCCACCCAGUCAUCAGCCUGUACAGUUCCAUCCACCCAGUCAUCCACCCUGUACAGUUCCAUCCACCCUGUACAGUUCCAUCCACCCUGUACAGUUCCAUCCACCCAGUCAUCAGCCUGUACAGUUCCAUCCACCCAGUCAUCAGCCUGUACAGUUCCAUCCACCCUGUAUUACUCAAUCUUCUCAACACAUAAGGAAUCAGUGUGUUGUGAGGAGCCUCUGUACUAA